rnacentral:rRNA from 1 species
AUUGGACGCUGGCGGAAUGCUUUACACAUGCAAGUCGAGCGGCAGCGCGGUCUUCGGACUGGCGGCGAGCGGCGAACGGGUGAGUAAUACAUCGGAACAUGCCCAGUCGUGGGGGAUAACACUUCGAAAGAAGUGCUAAUACCGCAUACGUCCUGAGGGAGAAAGCGGGGGAUCGCAAGACCUCGCGCGAUUGGAGUGGCCGAUGUCAGAUUAGCUAGUUGGUGGGGUAAAGGCCUACCAAGGCAACGAUCUGUAGCUGGUCUGAGAGGAUGAUCAGCCACACUGGGACUGAGACACGGCCCAGACUCCUACGGGAGGCAGCAGUGGGGAAUUUUGGACAAUGGGGGCAACCCUGAUCCAGCCAUUCCGCGUGAGUGAAGAAGGCCUUCGGGUUGUAGAGCUCUUUCGGCAGGAACGAAACGGCGAGCUCUAACAUAGCUCGCUAAUGACGGUACCUGAAGAAGAAGCACCGGCUAACUACGUGCCAGCCGCCGCAGUAAAAC